rnacentral:rRNA from 1 species
AGUGAACGCUGGCGGUAGGCCUAACACAUGCAAGUCGAACGGCAGCACAGGAGAGCUUGCUCUCUGGGUGGCGAGUGGCGGACGGGUGAGGAAUACAUCGGAAUCUACUCUGUCGUGGGGGAUAACGUAGGGAAACUUACGCUAAUACCGCAUACGACCUACGGGUGAAAGCAGGGGAUCUUCGGACCUUGCGCGAUUGAAUGAGCCGAUGUCGGAUUAGCUAGUUGGCGGGGUAAAGGCCCACCAAGGCGACGAUCCGUAGCUGGUCUGAGAGGAGGAGCAGCCACACUGGAACUGAGAAACGGUCCAGACUCCUACGGGAGGCAGCAGUGGGGAAUAUUGGACAAUGGGCGCAAGCCUGAUCCAGCCAUACCGCGUGGGUGAGGAAGGCCUUCGGGUUGUAAAGCCCUUUUGUUGGGAAAGAAAUCCAGCUGGCUAAUACCCGGUUGGGAUGACGGUACCCAAAGAAUAAGCACCGGCUAACUUCGUGCCAGCAGCCGCCGUAA